GUGGGGAAUCUUGCGCAAUGGGGGCAACCCUGACGCAGCAACGCCGCGUGGGUGAUGAAGGUCUUCGGAUCGUAAAGCCCUGUCGGCAGGAACGACGGCUUCGUUGGAUAACACCCAACGGAGUUGACGGUACCUGCAAAGGAAGCACCGGCUAACUCUGUGCCAGCAGCCGCGGUAAGACAGAGGGUGCAAGCGUUGUUCGGAAUCAUUGGGCGUAAAGCGCACGUAGGUGGUCUUGUAAGUCGGGUGUGAAAGCCCAGGGCUUAACCCUGGAAGUGCACCCGAAACUGCUCGACUUGAGUCCCGGAGAGGGUGGCGGAAUUCCGAGUGUAGAGGUGAAAUUCGUAGAUAUUCGGAGGAACACCAGUGGCGAAGGCGGCCACCUGGACGGAGACUGACACUGAGGUGCGAAAGCGUGGGUAGCAAACAGGAUUAGAAACCCCAGUAGUCC
rnacentral:rRNA from 1 species